UAGGGAAUAUUGGUCAAUGGGGGAGACCCUGAACCAGCCAUGCCGCGUGCAGGAAGACGGCCUUCUGGGUUGUAAACUGCUUUUAAAUAGGAAGAAAAUAUCCAUGCGUGGAUAAUUGACGGUACUAUAAGAAUAAGCACCGGCUAACUCCGUGCCAGCAGCCGCGGUAAUACGGAGGGUGCGAGCGUUGUCCGGAUUUAUUGGGUUUAAAGGGUGCGUAGGCGGUUUAAUAAGUCAGUGGUGAAAUCCUACAGCUCAACUGUAGAACUGCCAUUGAAACUGUUAAACUUGAGUGCAGAUGAGGCAUGCGGAAUUUAUGGUGUAGCGGUGAAAUGCAUAGAUACCAUAAAGAACACCGAUAGCGAAGGCAGCAUGCUAGGUUGCAACUGACGCUGAGGCACGAAAGCGUGGGGAGCGAACAGGAUUAGAUACCCCCGUAGUCC
rnacentral:rRNA from 1 species